rnacentral:rRNA from 1 species
GAUGAACGCUAGCUACAGGCUUAACACAUGCAAGUCGAGGGGAAACGACAUCGAAAGCUUGCUUUUGAUGGGCGUCGACCGGCGCACGGGUGAGUAACGCGUAUCCAACCUGCCCACCACUUGGGGAUAACCUUGCGAAAGUAAGACUAAUACCCAAUGACGUCUCUAGAAGACAUCUGAAAGAGAUUAAAGAUUUAUCGGUGAUGGAUGGGGAUGCGUCUGAUUAGCUUGUUGGCGGGGUAACGGCCCACCAAGGCGACGAUCAGUAGGGGUUCUGAGAGGAAGGUCCCCCACAUUGGAACUGAGACACGGUCCAAACUCCUACGGGAGGCAGCAGUGAGGAAUAUUGGUCAAUGGGCGAGAGCCUGAACCAGCCAAGUAGCGUGCAGGAUGACGGCCCUAUGGGUUGUAAACUGCUUUUAUAAGGGAAUAAAGUGAGUCUCGUGAGACUUUUUGCAUGUACCUUAUGAAUAAGGACCGGCUAAUUCCGUGCCAGCAGCCGCCGUAA